ensembl:lncRNA
UGAGUGUAUGACUGCCAAACGCAAGCAGUGGCUUGUUGUUCCUUUACGAGCCUGUUGUGUGUCUUCCGUCAUUGUGGGCCACAGCGGCUGGAAGGUUUGAUUCAUCAUGGCUGCUUACGUAUCUGGCUGUGCUACCUUCCCUGUGGACAGUAAUCUAAAAUAUUGAAAGAUGAUUCCCAGAAUAUUUGCUAGCAGUGCCAUCCUCAAAGCUUUUUCCUUUUUACUCUCAAACUUGUGUUGUUUCUUUUAGUUACCAUGACAGAACUCCGGACAGUACAGAGCAGACCAUUCAUCCAUCUCAGGAGCCAACUAUUCUCCUCACAGGUCUGUGUGUGUGGCAGAGUGCAGCUUUAUUGUUUCCGUUGGACGGAAAAGCUGUUCCUAAGUAAAUUUAAUUCAAUAUUAUCUCACAACUCAUAAGGAAAAAUUUAACAAACAAACAAAAGGAAAAAUGGAUUGUUUAUGUUGAAACAUCUAAUUACUCAGAAUUAUAUGAAUUUUGGAUUAUAUUUCUCUUUGGGAAAGGCAGCUGAAUCGAUGCAAUUCAUAACAGUUGGCAAAUAGCUGUGUAUUUGCGCGUUAACGCGCACAAAUGUGUUUAAUUUAAUCUGGCAGGCGUGUGUUACGUAUAUUAAAUUAUUGAUAUCAAUAGGAUUAUUAAAAAUACGUGUUCACUCACAAUGUCAAUAAUCAAAGUACUAUUCCGCAGUCAGAGAGAACAGUGAAGGUUUGACAUUUUGUCUUGGGAAUUCCGUGGUCUUCGUUCUGCAGGUUAAGUGAGGUAGCGCGGGCAAUCGAUCCUCUCCUCCUGUGGGAUCUAAAAGAGCCUUUUGUUCUUUUACUUCCCUGCACAAGAACCAAGUCCCAUUGGCCAGCGCAGAGUGAAGGCAUGCGCGGGUGUUGAUAGUCUCAGCGACGUCGUGGCUGGAUGAGAAGGGCUCCCUGGGGUUCCCGUGGCCCUUAUCAAAUGAGGCACCAGUGUUGUGGCUUGAAACAGAUCUCACACCCAGGUGAGAUUUUGACGCCUGAUGGGGUUUUGCAGGAUUUCAACCAGUUUGGGCUUUUUGAAUUCCUUGAGGACCACAUGGUGAAGUCGCAGUGUGUGUUUGAUCACAGUGUGAGCUGAAGUAUCAUUAGGCUUUAGGUGAUAAGAUUAGUCUUCUACCUCUCCAUAUUUAGGCAUGGCCGCAGAGCUAUCAGAAGACUCAUGCAUCAGUCAGGAGAGAAUAGAAGACAGAUGCUUCAGAGGGCGAUUUCAAGCUUUACACAAAGUCCUUAUUUGGGACUUUCUCAUGGGUCCCCUUUGCUGUUACAACACAAUAUGCACUCGUUGGUCCAAUAUUGCGCUGACUCAUACACUACAUGUAACAUGUUUUGGUUGGGCCCAUUACCGGUACUCCUUGUAAUGUCAAAGGUCACAAUGUGACUCAGAAACGCUGCAGACUCUUAAGUGAAACUCUUGAAUUUGAACUUUCCUUAAAUUUAUUUUACUGUCCCAUAAACCUGACAGUUUAAUGUAAUUGAUGAUGUAAGCAGGUUUCUUUUUUUAACGUAAACUUAAAAGCACGCACAGGCAGAGAAUACACCCUCGGGGAGUCAGGUUCUGGGAAACACUUUUCAGUGAGUCAUAAACCCACCCAGCGAAGUCUGCAGUGAUUGCUUCAACGUGGCUGACCGCGAGGUGGUCGCAGCCACUUCCUGCAUCAUGCAAAGUGGGCGUGAUGUCACAACUGCUGAGUCACCCCCCCCUCCGUACCACAUGUUGCAAUCUGCUGAGAUUUCCCACUGAUCAAUUUGCCCCAACCCCCCUCCAACCAUGAUGCUAAUACAGUUGCAAAGUACAAUGAUGACUUCAGCAUGUUCCACCUUCUUAACCUAAUUUUGCUAAACUUUCUCGAAUGCACUAACGCACACGCACUCCUCUUCAUUUGAGAUGGAUCGGGUUGUAGAUUACGUAUCUGGGUCCCUUUGUUUGCAGGCCAGAAGGGUUUCACAAUGCUUUCUUGUGUUUGCAGCUUGUCAGUAAAAAUCAUAUUGCUUAUAAUGAUCUGUGUCGAUGAUUCUGCCCCCGUAUUCUCUCUGGGUUCUGUGUUUUUAACAUUAUGGGUGUUCCCGGGAUAGUUGUAGUAUUUACACUAAGUCAGCUGUCCAACAAAUUAGUUGUUGGGCGUUUCUCUCUUGGCCUUCACUUGGUCAUAAUGAAAACAAGCCAUGAAUUCAAGCCAGUGGUUUUGUUUUUAAUAUGCUAAUGCAUGUUAUUCCUUCUUGUACGUCCAGCCUUUGUCUCGUAACCGUAGCAACCAAUCAAUUCACAGCCACCUUCAGAAUAAUCUGUGGUUAGAACAGAACAACCUUUAUUUAGUGUUUGUGAAAUUAAUAUUAGCAUACAUUAUAAAGAGAUAGAUAAGAUAGAUAAAGUAAACUUGGUUAAUUUAAGUAAUCGAUUAGAAAGCUUUAAUAAUCAGUCCAACUAAUUUGUCACCAAAGAACACAAUCUGAAUGAGCCUCUGAGUAAAUUCAAAUCACUGUUUUAUUAGCAUGGACUUCAAAAUAAACAAUCAGUUUUAACUUGUUCUCUUUUCUAGUGACCUUCUAGGGUCGUGGGUAAGGCCGACCACUGAGCCAGCAGCCUCUCUGAUCAUCUCAUUGAUUCUGUUUGUAUCUUCCACAAAGCACAGCAUAGAAGAAGACACUGCUUGAGAACCCCUUAAAAACAUUGGGACGCUUUCUGCUAAUGUCAAAGAAACUAAGCUUCCUCAAGAAGGAAAGUCUUGAAUGAGCUUUAUAUUAGAUAAAGUCCAGUCUCCAACCAUUUGUCUGUUGCACAGUUUGAGCCAGAAUACAAACUUUUGUGCAUAAAAUGUUUUUUUUGCAUUAAGAACUUUACAGACAAUGUGGCCCAAGAAAUUCCCCUUUGACUGGCUUGGACCAUGUCAACCCCUCAAGGUGUUUAAUGUGGCUGGGACCUGAUAACGGAGAGUAAUGACAGGGCAGUAUUGAAGACACAAGAAGAAACUCGUUGGAUAGGGAACGCGUAGGAAGCAUUCCACUCCUGAUUUGGUGACUCAAGAUGGAAGAGAUUGUGAUGAGAAUAAGGGGAGACGAGGCUUUGUGACUUAAAGGAUGAGUGUUGCAUCGGGAAGAAGAAAAUGAACAAAAAAUAAUCAAAUAGGUCAGAUAGACCCUCUUCAUCUCACAGAGAAUAGUAACAGUAGCAAUAAGUUCACCGUGCACAUUACAAGUGCUAUCUCCUAAUCAGUAUUGCGUUUGAUCUAACACAAUCUGUCAAACGUUUUGAAUGAGCUUGCAGCAGUGUUAAAGGGCAAACAGGUGUGUUUGUGUGUCUGUCAGUGUAUAAACAAUCGUAUGACCAGGCUUGUGUGGAAUGUCGGAUCUCUGUUCCCGAUAAACGUCACAGGGUUUUUAGGUGUUGAGUUGACCAGGGUCAACAGAGGUUAACUGAGCCAAUGUGCCAUGAGGCUCACACAAAUGUGCCACAGAUGACACCAACGCAGAUUUUGGACUUUGGCCCCGAAACCCCCAAAUCCCUUAAAUCUGGAGCAAGACAGCCUUCAUUUUUUAAAUGCAUUUGUUUAGAUAACAGUCAGACGAACGAGUGAAGGAUGGUAAUGUGCCUCUCAUGUGUUGGAUUUACAGUCAGCGGGAAUUUCCAAAUGAACAGCUUUGAUAUUUCAUUCGUUAAAGAUGCGCAGAGGCAAAGUCAGGAUGUGGUGAGAGCCAUAAAGGAGGUUCUCUGAACGUGUGUGUCUGUGUGCAUGCGGUUCAUAUUCCACGCAGGUUGCAAUCUGGAGUGCCAUGGCAUCUCUGCGGACCGGACCUUUUCCGAUGAGGAGGAUGAACAGCGGAGGCGAAAGAGCAGGUUGCUAAACAGCCAGAAGCCAGAGCCUCCACAGCAGGAAUAACACCUCUGGAUUUUGAUGAUACCUCUAUGUCUGCUGAAGACCACGGGUGGCCGCCUGCAUAAUCCCACAACACCCGCUUGCUGGUUUAGUAAUCCCUAAAGGAAUGUCACCCUGGCUCCUCUAUACAUCCCUUUUGUAAGACGUUUUAUAAAGGGAAGGCCAGAUCAUUUCUGAAGGAUCAUUCACGGAUGAGUGCACGACAACUUGUAAGUGAUGAUGAGACAUUAUUAUGGACGAGAUAGGAAACUAAUGAACAUUUCAGUUUUUUAUUUUUCAUUCAGCAGAGCAUGCUGUGAAUGCUGGAUAAUCUCAAACGGGUAUAUUUGUUUUUUCUUAUUUUGGAAUGUUUCCACUAUCAAUCUAUUGAUUGAAGAAUCAAUCUUAUUGUUUUAUUUUGGAUAUCACAAAUGUUGGAAAUGUAUUAGAAAUACAUGAAGGAGAAGGUGAUUCUUUUGAUAUGUGAAAUGUUGUCAAUGUGUCUCAGGUGCGUUAAUAUCUAUGGUGAAAUGUCUCACAUUGCAGGACAUUCCAACUUGACUUGAAAAAAAGAGGAACAAUAGUUUUUUCUUAUCAGUAUUUUCUGCAGCUAUGAGAAGCAUCCAUUUUGUUAACAAGGGUAAACAUUCAAUCUAAUAAAUCAUGACGUGCCUUUGCUGGAGUAUCUGUCAUGUUUCUGUCAUGAGGCUUUAUACCGUACAGUGGAAGCAAAGUGUAAAUCAACCAUAUGAAGAUGUGUUAUUAUGGUUAUGUACACCAACUAGCCUGUAUUAUUGACAAGUUGUCAGCUUGAAUAAAAUGUAUCCUAAUGAGAAUGUGAUGAUUACAUUUUAAGAAAUGAUUGAAUCCUCAAGUUUGCCUUUGGAUUGAUAGAAAUGUAAAAUGAAUAAAAUGUGUAUUAGCAUUUAAAAAAAAAUGCAAAAA